rnacentral:tRNA from 1 species
AAACUAUUUAUGCUUUGUUUUGAAAACAGAGUUUAAGAUUUAUUCUUGUAGUUUU